rnacentral:rRNA from 1 species
CACAACAGCCAUACCACCUGCAGUUCAGACCAGGGAACCCAUCGGAAACUAAGAAGGUGUAGGCCUGACCAGUAUUUGUCUGGGAGAUCACUGGGAAAGCUGGGCUAUUGCUGGAA